rnacentral:rRNA from 1 species
AGUGAACGCUGGCGGUAGGCCUAACACAUGCAAGUCGAACGGCAGCACAGUAAGAGCUUGCUCUUACGGGUGGCGAGUGGCGGACGGGUGAGGAAUACAUCGGAAUCUACUUUUUCGUGGGGGAUAACGUAGGGAAACUUACGCUAAUACCGCAUACGACCUACGGGUGAAAGCAGGGGAUCUUCGGACCUUGCGCGAUUGAAUGAGCCGAUGUCGGAUUAGCUAGUUGGCGGGGUAAAGGCCCACCAAGGCGACGAUCCGUAGCUGGUCUGAGAGGAUGAUCAGCCACACUGGAACUGGGACACGGUCCAGACUCCUACGGGAGGCAGCAGUGGGGAAUAUUGGACAAUGGGCGGAAGCCUGAUCCAGCCAUACCGCGUGGGCGAAGAAGGCCUUCGGGUUGUAAAGCCCUUUUGUUGGGAAAGAAAAGCAGCAGGUUAAUACCCCGCUGUUCUGACGGUACCCAAAGAAUAAGCACCGGCUAACUUCGUG